rnacentral:tRNA from 1 species
GGGCACAUAGCUCAGUUGGGAGAGCGCGACAAUCGCACUGUCGAGGUCCGGGGUUCAAAUCCCCGUGUGUCCA